rnacentral:rRNA from 1 species
AAAGGGUCCCGUAGUGACCUGCGGAGGGAUCAUUACACAAAUAUGAAGGCGGGCUGGAACCUCUCGGGGUUACAGCCUUGCUGAAUUAUUCACCCUUGUCUUUUGCGUACUUCUUGUUUCCUUGGUGGGUUCGCCCACCACUAGGACAAACAUAAACCUUUUGUAAUUGCAAUCAGCGUCAGUAACAAAUUAAUAAUUACAACUUUCAACAACGGAUCUCUUGGUUCUGGCAUCGAUGAAGAACGCAGCGAAAUGCGAUAAGUAGUGUGAAUUGCAGAAUUCAGUGAAUCAUCGAAUCUUUGAACGCACAUUGCGCCCUUUGGUAUUCCAAAGGGCAUGCCUGUUCGAGCGUCAUUUGUACCCUCAAGCUUUGCUUGGUGUUGGGCGUCUUGUCUCUAGCUUUGCUGGAGACUCGCCUUAAAGUAAUUGGCAGCCGGCCUACUGGUUUCGGAGCGCAGCACAAGUCGCACUCUCUAUCAGCAAAGGUCUAGCAUCCAUUAAGCCUUUUUUUCAACUUUUGACCUCGGAUCAGGUAGGGAUACCCGCUGAACUUAA